rnacentral:piRNA from 1 species
UGGAGAUUCCCCUAUGGGUCAGUCU